GUAGGGAAUUUUGCGCAAUGGGCGAAAGCCUGACGCAGCAACACCGCGUGAGUGAUGAAGCAUCUUGGUGUGUAAAACUCUGUCAGAGGGGACGAAAUAUGACGGUACCCUCAAAGGAAGCACCGGCUAACUACGUGCCAGCAGCCGCGGUAAGACGUAGGGUGCAAGCGUUGUCCGGAAUUAUUGGGCGUAAAGAGUUCGUAGGCGGCAUGAAAAGUCUGGUGUUAAAGCCUGGAGCUCAACUCCAGUUCGGCAUCGGAUACUUUCAAGCUAGAGUACAGAAGAGGCAAAGGGAAUUCCUAGUGUAGCGGUGAAAUGCGUAGAUAUUAGGAGGAACACCGGUGGCGUAAGCGCUUUGCUGGGCUGUAACUGACGCUGAGGAACGAAAGCCGGGGGAGCAAAUGGGAUUAGAUACCCCAGUAGUCC
rnacentral:rRNA from 1 species